UACAGAGGUCCCAAGCGUUGUUCGGAUUCACUGGGCGUAAAGGGUGCGUAGGUGGUGAGGUAAGUCGGAUGUGAAAGCUCGGAGCUCAACUCCGAAAUGGCAUUGGAAACUACCUUGCUCGAGGGUUGGAGGGGGGACUGGAAUACUUGGUGUAGCAGUGAAGUGCGUAGAUAUCAAGUGGAACACCAGUGGCGAAGGCGAGUCCCUGGACAACUCCUGACACUGAGGCACGAAAGCUAGGGGAGCAAACAGG
rnacentral:rRNA from 1 species